UCCAGGACGCCCCUGCGUCCUUGGGGCUAUGGCUUCUGACGGAGGGGGCUACACCUACCGUCUCCUCCUUUACCCCAGUCCAGAUAGGGGAGCUGGACGCGCCUGUGUGAGGAUCCGGGCCUCGCCGAGCGUGCGCAGACCCUAAAAAGACGCUCGCGGCCGCCCUCCGAUCACUCUGGCCCCCGAGGGGGUGUGGGGCUAGGGCUCCGAUCCUGCCGGAACGCCGCACUCGCCCGCAGGCGAGCAAAGGGGUCUUGGGCCUGCCGGUCUUCCCGGGUCGUCCGUGGCCCGGGGAAGCCAGCUAGGCGCGGGCGGGCAGGUAAUCGGGCCGCUACCUGCCGGGGCUUCAGCUCCCGGGGCGGGGCGACGGAGCGCAGGUCAUUUCUCUUCGAGAACGAACACCCCGAUUGCAGGGGUCCGGGGAGACGCUGCACCCCUUCCCCUUCCUGCACGAAGGCCGAGGUCUCCCCAGCACCGACUCCCGCCGCGCGUUACCUUCCGCUUGCAAAGAAUAAACGGAGGUGCGGGGAGACGUUGGGGAAAGGGGUGCCAAAAGUGAAAGAGAGGCCUGGGGACCCCAGAAGCGCGUCCGUCUGUCCGCGCGCACAGCACAGCACCGGGAAGCGGGGAUGGCCGGGAGGGGCUGGGGGAGAGCCCAGCCAGGGGAGCGGCUCGCGCGCGCAAGCUGUUUGCCCCCGCCGGGGUGUUUACACGUUUUCUUAGCAGCCGGUCUGCGAACGGCGCAGCCCCAGCCCUAGCCCGGGACCCGGAGUCCGGCGCUGGCCGCGCGGUGGACGCCGCGGCGCAUUCCGCUCGCCCUGCCGGAGAGCCAUAGCGCACGGGCCGGGGAGGGGGCGCGGGCUUGGGGAAUCGCCCUUCUGGCCUCUCGAGACGCUAAAAUAGGAGUUCCCCACAUGUCUGAGUCUGGUCUCCUGCGACUUCGUCUCCCACUCACCCCUCCCCACGUCCUACGGCUGUGAUGCUUUUCCAGAAAAGGGAAGAGGAAAAAGGACGGCGCGGCGCUCGGGUUCUUCUCCCAGACAAGUCAAAAUAGGACGCCGCGUUCACUUUCAUGUUCGCGAACGAGUGCCGUGAGCAACCCGGGCAGGCUUCUCCAGCCAAAAUUUAGAACUGUUGGAGUCAAGCAAAGACCUCUUUCCUGAUUCCGCGCACGGCGACGUUGCCACUCCCAGAGGCGGUCUACCCGGGGGCACCGACACCCACCACCCGGCCUCGGGGAGGAAGUUUUCCAGUCCAUGGUGCAUGUAAGGGCAGGGAGUCGAGGCGCCUGACUCCCGCCCGGAUAAGGUCAUAGGUGUAGAAUUAAAAAGGCAGGACUUGACAUGUCCCCGGCAAGCGUGACCCAGCCCGGCCGAACCCUCGGAGCCGUGGCCGAAGUUUCCAGGCGCGGUGGCGCAAAACCUUUGUCUUCCCCCCGCUUUUCAUUCAGCGUGGCCUGUCCAGUGCAGAUGUUGUGCAUAAAUAAAAGGGGGGACUUGAACGCUA